GGCACCUGAGUACGGCGGGGCACGUGGAAUCCUGCCGGAAUCAUCGGGGACCAUCCCGAAAGGCUAAACACUACUCUGUGACCGAUAGCGAACCAGUACCGUGAGGGAAAGGUGAAAAGAACCCCGGGAGGGGAGUGAAAGAGAACCUGAAACCGCAUGCCCACAAGAAGUCAGAGCCCGUCAAAGGGUGAUGGCGUGCCUUUUGUAGAAUGAGCCGGCGAGUCACGAUCAGCAGGCGAGGUUAAGCAGGAGAUGCGGAGCCGCAGCGAAAGCGAGUCUUAACAGGGCGGAAUAGUCUGAGGUCGUGGACCCGAAACCGGGUGAUCUAGCCAUGAGCAGGUUGAAGUCGGGGUAAGACCCGAUGGAGGACCGAACCGACCCCCGUUGAAACGUUGGCGGAUGACUUGUGGCUAGGGGUGAAAUUCCAAUCGAACCCGGAGAUAGCUGGUUCUCCCCGAAAUAGCUUUAGGGCUAGCGUCGCAGCGAGAGAGCCGUGAAGGUAGAGCACUGAAUAUGCGAUGGCCGCAUCCCGCGGUACUGAGCAUAAUCAAACUCCGAAUGUCACGGUGUCAUCUGCGGCAGUCAGACGGCGAGUGAUAAGGUCCGUCGUCAAGAGGGAAACAGCCCAGACCAUCAGCUAAGGUCCCAAAGUGCAUGCUAAGUGGAAAAGGAAGUGGAGACGUGCAGACAACUAGGAGGUUGGCUCAGAAGCAGCCAUCCUUCAAAGAGUGCGUAACAGCUCACUAGUCGAAUGACUCUGCGCCGAUAAUUUACCGGGGCUAAGCAUGACACCGAAGCUAUGGA
rnacentral:rRNA from 1 species